AAGGACUUUGUGGACUUGCUACGAUUCCACCUCUGGGCGAAGCUUAAAGCCAGGAGACAACCCUACCAGAGGGCGAUGAGAGCGGUGGCGGCGUGGAUUCGCCCGACCACCCGGCGUACCUUACAAUGGACUCCCCCUCACAACUCCAGAGCAGCCUCCAAACGAAACUGGAGCCCAGGCUCAAACAGGCGGGAAACGGCGCAGGGCCUUCUGGACGCCAAUUCUCACGACCCCGCUCCGCAGAAGAAGAUCCGACAUGCUUCUCACUCAGCGACCACAGAAAACAACGAGCAGCAAAGCAUAAGCCUGCACACAGCGGCCCACAAAGCCUGGGGUGCCGAAGACCGAAAAAAAACGAAGCUAGAUCCCAAGAGACGCAACAGGCAGAAACCCCACUCACGACAUACAGGAGUGGAAACCCAGAAGAGACCCUCACCCAACUGCACAAGCAAGACUGCCAAAACGGGCAUCGGUUGAAACAAC